AGCCCAUGGUGUGGACAUCUUCUAAGCAACUCUUUAAAUCGUUCCCAAGCCUCAUAUAAUGACUCACCAUCAAAUUGUUUGAAUGAAGUUAUAUCAUUCCUUAACUU
rnacentral:snoRNA from 1 species